GAAAUAUGUCUGACAAUAGAAUUACUUUGAUAGAGUAAAACAUAAGGGUUUAAGCCCCUUUAUUUCUA
rnacentral:tRNA from 1 species